AACCGGCAGUCCAGAGAAUCAUCAGUUCUCGUCGUCGCAUCGCCCACUCAACUCGCAUCCACCAUUCCGCCCGCACCCCCCGAAUUUCUCCGCCGUCCCAGUGCCGGCGCGACGCCGCAUGCCCCGGCAGAGCGAGCGCUGCUGCCGUCGCAUAUGCCCGUCGAGCGCCGCUUCCGCCUACACAUUCGCCCGCCGCUGCCCCCGACGCAUCUGCCUGGCUCCAAAAAAGCUCAUUUUUCGGGUCCAAAUUGGCUGAUCUGGCGGCGGUGCUGGAUCCGGUAGCGGCGAAGGCGGCUAGCGGGGAGGAGCAGGUCCUCCAUGGCGGGCGGAGAGUGCACUGACAGAUAGAUGGAGUAAUUUCGCCUUAAUCCGUGGUGCUUCCCUUUCUCGACUUAAUCUGCGGUGGUUCCAAAUCUUCCUAAGAGUAAUAGAUUGUUACUGUUACUGUUAAAGACGUGGCUCUCUCGGUGCUGCAGCUUCUUCCUCGCCGUGUAGGGACGGCGGCGACGAGCUUCUACCUCGGCUACAGCCACCUAGGUUCUGCCGUACAAGGAGCUCGGAUAGGCGCUGGCAGAGGUAGAGAAUUUGAUAAAAAAACAAGGCAGCAGCAGCAUUUCAGUUUGGGAAGGUUAGAAUGCUGGAGUUGAAGCAGUUGUGGAUUUCUUCAAGGCAAAAAUAGAGCAUUUCCACUUAGUGAGAUGAAAAGGGUUAGUUUUCAGGUUUUGUUUCAGCAUGCUUUUGAUUGGUCACUCCUGAGCACUAAUUAUCACC